rnacentral:ncRNA from 1 species
CCAUCUGUAUCACCAGAUGAACCUAAGGCUCUGAAUAAAGUAGCGAGCCUGACAAUGUAACGAAGGUUGGUCAUAGACCAAUCGGGAUCAAAAUCGUGAGAGGACGAUCCUCCUGAUAACCACAAUCGGGUGAGUGC